rnacentral:tRNA from 1 species
UUAUAGCUCAGUGGUAGAAUGUGUGCUUAGCAUGCACAAGGUCUUGGGUUCAAUCCCAAUAA